rnacentral:rRNA from 1 species
AUGCAGUCGAACGAGAAGUCCGCAAGGAUGAGUACAGUGGCGUACGGGUGAGUAACACGUGGAUCAUCUACCCUUUAGUGGGGAAUACCGCCGCGAAAGUGGCGACAAUUCCGCAUAAUCUCGAGAGAGGAAAGCAGCAAUGCGCUGAAGGAGGAGUCCGCGGCUGAUUAGCUAGUUGGUGAGGUAAUGGCUCACCAAGGCUCAGAUCAGUAGCCGGCCUGAGAGGGCACACGGCCACACUGGCACUGAAACACGGGCCAGACUCCUACGGGAGGCAGCAGUGGGGAAUCUUGCACAAUGGGGGAAACCCUGAUGCAGCGACGCCGCGUGAGCGAUGAAGCCCUUCGGGGUGUAAAGCUCUUUCGGCAGGGAAGAUGAUGACGGUACCUGCAGAAGCAGCUGCGGCUAACUACGUGCCAGCAGCCGCGGUAAUACGUAGGCAGCAAGCGUUGUUCGGAGUUACUGGGCGUAAAGGGUGUGUAGGCGGUUGGAUAAGUGUGGUGUGAAAUCUCCCGGCUUAACUGGGAGGGUGCGCUACAGACUGUCUGACUAGAGUGU